rnacentral:rRNA from 1 species
AUUGAACGCUGGCGGCAGGCUUAGCACAUGCAAGCCGAGCGGAGAUGAGGUGCUUGCACCUUAUCUUAGCGGCGGACGGGUGAGUAAUGCUUAGGAAUCUGCCUAUUAGUGGGGGACACCAUUCCGAAAGGAAUGCUAAUACCGCAUACGUCCUACGGGAGAAAGCAGGGGAUCUUCGGACCUUGCGCUAAUAGAUGAGCCUAAGUCGGAUUAGCUAGUUGGUGGGGUAAAGGCCUACCAAGGCGACGAUCUGUAGCGGGUCUGAGAGGAUGAUCCGCCACACUGGGACUGAGACACGGCCCAGACUCCUACGGGAGGCAGCAGUGGGGAAUAUUGGACAAUGGGGGGAACCCUGAUCCAGCCAUGCCGCGUGUGUGAAGAAGGCCUUAUGGUUGUAAAGCACUUUAAGCGAGGAGGAGGCUACUGAGACUAAUACUCUUGGAUAGUGGACGUUACUCGCAGAAUAAGCACCGGCUAACUCUGUGCCAGCCGCCGCAGUAA